AUGACCCGACUUGCUUUCCUGAAUGCACGAACAAACAUCUGCUCUGUAUGCACGGCAAAAUUUAGUUUCAUUCAAUGCCGUCACAUGACCCCCUUACAGGGAAGGAUCCUCGACCAUCAUGCCGCGUCCCUCGACCAGAAUCUCCAUCAAAUCUUGUCGCAUUGCAACUUUCAGAGUAACGUCCACUGUCGCCGGCGGAGGAAAAUCAUCCGCCGAGCCGUCCAAUGUCAGGUUCACCGGCGAAAGAAGAACAUCCGUCGAGCCGUCCAUCGUCUGAGGCGGCUACACCAGAGAUGCCCGUGCAUUAAUCUGUGCAAAUAUUGCCAAUUCAGACUAAACCGUGUGUUGCAGCUGCCAGAGGCGUCCGAUCGUACUCAGGUGGAGUCCAAGGAGGUUCGGCUCUUAGACAUGCCAGCAAUCACUGUCAACGACACUGACGUGCAGAUUGAUUUGGUUGUCUAUCUGAUGCAUAAUGAUGCUGCUAGACUAGAGGCGGUGGUCACUGAUGAGGUGAAAUGGAACCAGAUUCACAUAAAGAGAUCAAAGUCGAUGAGACAUAUGAUUAUCUCCCACAAGGGAGCCCAAUCGGUGGAAGGUGAUUUGUCAAAGAGAAUUCUAGCAGCCAACAGUUAA
rnacentral:rRNA from 1 species